AGCUGCGUGGUGAGCACAGUGCAAACUAUUCUUUCGCCUUUUACUAAAGAAUACCGUAUGCACGCCACUUAAAGCAAUAGUGAUAAAUAUAUAAAUAGAUAGUUUGACUUCGAUU